GAGGGAAUGAAGCCCCACAGCCAAGGCUGGGGUUAAUAUACCCUGAUUGUGCCCGCCUCUCGUUCCCAUGGCACCCACGAAAAGGGAGGGGGCAAAUCCCACCGAGUAUAAAAGCCCAGAGAGCAGCUGCAGCUGUUUGGCCUCUCUGACUCAAAUUCAAGGGGAGUAAAGUGCUUGUUAUAGAAGAAAGCUCUUCAGAAAAAUAACAGCGCUUUCUUUUUUGUAGCAACUGCUUGGAGCAAAAGGGCAGCAAACUGAAACUGCAAUUCGGCCUCCAAAACUGCAGAGAACAAUUUCUCGCAGUCCGCAGCUGCCAACACCAAGAACUCUUGCUGCCCUCGGAGUGCCACGUGCCUCCUGCGGAUGGACGUCGACACGCAGCAGGGUGAGUUUGGUUUUACAGGGAAGAGGGCCAGCACAGGAUUUCUCCAGGAGCAAAGCUGCCCCCACCGAGAACUCGGGCUGCUCUGGCAGUGCCAAGCACCUCCUGCAAACUGGCAUCAGCAAACUCAGGGGCAACUGCUUGGAGCAAAAGGGCAGCAAACUGAAACUGCAAUUCGGCCUCCAAAACUGCAGAGAACAAUUUCUCGCAGUCCGCAGCUGCCAACACCAAGAACUCUUGCUGCCCUCGGAGUGCCACGUGCCUCCUGCGGAUGGACGUCGACACGCAGCAGGGUGAGUUUGGUUUUACAGGGAAGAGGGCCAGCACAGGAUUUCUCCAGGAGCAAAGCUGCCCCCACCGAGAACUCGGGCUGCUCUGGCAGUGCCAAGCACCUCCUGCAAACUGGCAUCAGCAAACUCAGGGGGUGAGUUUUUCUGUGCAGAAAUUCUCCCAGACCAAAGCUGAGAGCAUCUAACCCUGACCACAACAACUUAGCUGGGUCUAAAACUUACAACCUUUGGACUGGC